rnacentral:pre_miRNA from 1 species
CGAUGUCAUUUUGGUUCGUAAUGUUGUAAUUGUCUCACUACGAACCAGAAUGACAUCGCG